rnacentral:tRNA from 4 species
GCGGUGGUAGAUCAGUUGGUUAGAUUACCUGCCUGUCACGCAGGGGGUCGCGGGUUCGAGCCCCGUCCACCGCGCCA